UGUUCACGGUUCAUUAAGCCGCUAUCCAUUUAUUGGUUAAUGUAUUUGGCGGGUAAAUUCUGUCGAGACCGGAAGUCAUGAUCUAAACACUGGAACUGCAAAAAAAUGAACACCUAAUUAAUAACUUGACUUUGUGGUUGGAAAUUCAUUAUGUUAUCAGUCAGACAAGUCCUUCAACAAUGAAAAAAGGUUUUAAAAAAAAUUGAGGACAGGAAAGCAGCAGAAAGUGAAAGACUUGAAGAAAUAUAGGCAAUGUAUUUAAAUGGAUUUUGAUAUCAUACAAACCAAAAGCACUUCAAAACAGCUUGAAAUCAAUAUCAGCUCUAAGAAAGAUGUUUAAAGAGAUCAUCAACCAAGUCUGAGGCUUAACCAUGAACUAAA